rnacentral:rRNA from 1 species
AUUGAACGCUGGCGGCAGGCCUAACACAUGCAAGUCGGACGGUAGCACAGAGGAGCUUGCUCCUCGGGUGACGAGUGGCGGCCGGGUGAGUAAUGUCUGGGGAUCUGCCCGAUAGAGGGGGAUAACCACUGGAAACGGUGGCUAAUACCGCAUAACGCUGCAAGACCAAAGAGGGGGACCUUCGGGCCUCUCACUAUCGGAUGAACUCAGAUGGGACUAGCUAGUAGGCGGCGUAACGGCCCACCUAGGCGACGAUCCCUAGCUGGGCUGAGAGGAUGACCAGCCACACGGGAGCUGAGACACGGUCCAGACGCCUACGGGAGGCAGCAGUGGGGAAUAUUGCACAAUGGGCGCAAGCCUGAUGCAGCCAUGCCGCGUGUAUGAAGAAGGCCUUCGGGUUGUAAAGUACUUUCAGCGGGGAGGAAGGCGAUGUGGUUAAUAACCGCGUCGAUUGACGUUACCCGCAGAAGAAGCACCGGCUAACUCCGUGCCAGCCGCCGCGGUAA